rnacentral:sRNA from 1 species
AAAUAGCCCUGAUAGCAGUGAAAAUCCUUUUUAUUUUUUUCUUUAAAAAACAAAAAGAUUGUAACGAAUAGCAGGAAAUAGC